rnacentral:lncRNA from 1 species
UCUGAGAUGAAUUUUUUCAAAGUUGUGGUGGAUGGCCACCUCGAGGACAUGGAAGAAAUCGAGUCUUCUCCUGCUGAUGACCUAACCCAGGAUGAGUGUGAUGAUGACACUAACCUCUAAGUCGCUGGUGAGGACAAGAAUGGAGAAUAAUCUUGCUUCUAUUCCCGUUUUCGUUAGUCAUUCCUUAGGAUGUAUUUUGUAAUUUUUCUCAGAAUGUUG